GGGAGGGGAACCACGUGGCUGCAGGGAGCUAGAGAGAAGCCAGAAGAAUUGUGGACAAAGCUGCAUGUGGAACAGACUGUGACUGCCUGACAGCACAGGAAAGGUGCUCAGAUACCACAGAGAUAAGGAAUAGGAGAUGAUGGCUUGAUCCCGACAGAUGCUGAGUACCUCUAAUUCCCAUUGAAUUCGGGGGACCAACUCUAUAAUGGAAAACUGGGAAUGGGAGGAUCUCUUUGGCUGAGGAACAACUGUACUGAAGAAGAUGGGGCAGCAGCACUUGGACUGAGGA